rnacentral:lncRNA from 1 species
AUAUAUAUAUAUAUAUAUAUAUAUAUAUAGUUUGACUGGGCUACUAUCGAUAGUAAACUGCUCGGUUUACUACCGAUUUGUUUUUUAUGAUAAAGCUUCCAAAUCGACAAUCGGCACCGUUGAAUAUGAUCUAGACCAUUUAAAUUAUCUAGAAAUCAAAUUUCAUGAUUUUUUGGCAUCACUAACUGAACAAUCAAAGGGUCACAAAAUCUAUAAUUUUAAUGGCCGAUAUGAUGCGUUUGCUCGUUUAACGGUAUAGAAGAGUUCAAAUCAACUAAAUUUAUGUUAAAAUAAUUUUUAAACUAUUUAAAAUAGGAUCUAGACUCUAAAUCUCAAAUAUAAAAAUUGUAUCAUCACUUUUUAAAGGAUAUUCAUUUCCGGCCAUUCAUUUUUCUGUUCACUUGAUGGACAAGAGAACAAUAUCGAAAAUGUGUGAAAUUUGAUUUCAGAUAGUUUAAAUAGUUUAGAUCAUGUUUAACGGUGCCGAUCAUCAAUUUGGAAGCUCUAUCAUCGAAAACAAAUCAGUAGUAAACCGAGCCGUUUACUACCGAUAGUAUUCUAGCAAAACUAUAUAUAUAUAUAUAUAUAUA